rnacentral:rRNA from 1 species
GACGAACGCUGGCGGCGUGCUUAACACAUGCAAGUCGAACGGAAAGGCCCUGCUUUUGUGGGGUGCUCGAGUGGCGAACGGGUGAGUAACACGUGAGUAACCUGCCCUUGACUUUGGGAUAACUUCAGGAAACUGGGGCUAAUACCGGAUAGGAGCUCCUGCUGCAUGGUGGGGGUUGGAAAGUUUCGGCGGUUGGGGAUGGACUCGCGGCUUAUCAGCUUGUUGGUGGGGUAGUGGCUUACCAAGGCUUUGACGGGUAGCCGGCCUGAGAGGGUGACCGGCCACAUUGGGACUGAGAUACGGCCAAGACGACUACGGGAGGCAGCAGUGGGGAAUAUUGCACAAUGGGCGGAAGCAUGAUGAAGCAACGCCGCGUGCGGGAUGACGGCCUUCGGGGUGUAAACCGCUUUCGCCUGUGACGAAGCGUGAGUGACGGGAAUGGGUAAAGAAGCACCGGCUAACUACG